rnacentral:rRNA from 1 species
AUUGAACGCUGGCGGCAGGCUUAACACAUGCAAGUCGAGCGGGGGAAGGUAGCUUGCUACUGGACCUAGCGGCGGACGGGUGAGUAAUGCUUAGGAAUCCGCCUAUUAGUGGGGGACAACAUCUCGAAAGGGAUGCUAAUACCGCAUACGUCCUACGGGAGAAAGCAGGGGAUCUUCGGACCUUGUGCUAAUAGAUGAGCCUAAGUCGGAUUAGCUAGUUGGUGGGGUAAAGGCCUACCAAGGCGACGAUCUGUAGCGGGUCUGAGAGGAUGAUCCGCCACACUGGGACUGAGACACGGCCCAGACUCCUACGGGAGGCAGCAGUGGGGAAUAUUGGACAAUGGGGGGAACCCUGAUCCAGCCAUGCCGCGUGUGUGAAGAAGGCCUUAUGGUUGUAAAGCACUUUAAGCGAGGAGGAGGCUACUUUAGUUAAUACCUAGAGAUAGUGGACGUUACUCGCAGAAUAAGCACCGGCUAACUCUGUGCCAGCCGCCGCGGUAA